rnacentral:tRNA from 1 species
UGGCUCAGACGGUAAAGCGUCUGCCUACAAUGCAGGAGACCUGGGUUCGAUCCCUG